rnacentral:rRNA from 1 species
AACGGCGAGUGAAGCGGCAAAAGCUCAAAUUUGAAAUCUGGCCUCCUACGGGGGYCCKWGUUGUAAUUUGUAGAGGAUGCUUCGGGUGUGGCCGCCGUCUAAGUUCCUUGGAACAGGACGUCAGAGAGGGUGAGAAUCCCGUCUUGGGCGGCCGGUCCGCGCCCGUGUGAAGCUCCUUCGACGAGUCGAGUUGUUUGGGAAUGCAGCUCUAAGCGGGUGGUAAAUUUCAUCUAAAGCUAAAUACUGGUCGGAGACCGAUAGCGCACAAGUAGAGUGAUCGAAAGGUUAAAAGCACCUUGAAAAGGGAGUUAAACAGCACGUGAAAUUGUUGAAAGGGAAGCGCUUGCGGCCAGACUCGGGGGCGGGGUUCAGCGGGCGCUCGUCGCCCGUGCACUCCCCGUCUCCCGGGCCAGCAUCAGUUUCGACGGCCGGUCAAAGGCCUCCGGAAUGUGUCGUCUCUCGGGACGUCUUAUAGCCGGGGGUGCAAUGCGGCCCGUCGGGACUGAGGAACGCGCUUCGGCUCGGAUGCUGGCGUAAUGGCCGUAAGCGGCCCGUCUUGAAACACGGACCAAGGAGUCUAACAUCCACGCGAGUGUUCGGGUGUCAAACCCGUGCGCGCAGUGAAAGCGAACGGAGGUGGGAGCCUUAGGGCGCACCAUCGACCGAUCCUGAAGUCUUCGGAUGGAUUUGAGUAGGAGCGUGGCCGUUGGGACCCGAAAGAUGGUGAACUAUGCCUGAAUAGGGUGAAGCCAGAGGAAACUCUGGUGGAGGCUCGCAGCGGUUCUGACGUGCAAAUCGAUCGUCAAAUUU